CUCGUGUUGAUGCCUGGGAUAGCUCAUUAAUUAGCAAGGUGAAGAAGAAGGAUAGGAUUAGCCCUGGAGUUUUCGGCAAAUUACAACUGAAGGAGAAAUACAGGGACACUCAACAGAGUGGUCUUUUUGGAGGAUUGCUAAAGGCUGAACAAUUUACUGCCUCUAAUCUGCCACGAGACUACGACCAAA